AGUACCCAGCUGCAUGGAAAUAGGAGGAAUGUCUGCUGCUUCAAACAAAUUUCCAGCCUUCUGGAGGUUAUUCUCAGCUGAAGUCAAUGGAAAGGACAGAUACAUGAGAGCAGAGACCACUUUCUGAAGCCAUUCUGUGCAAAAGUUUGUACUAGAACUACUAGGGGAUGGAAAUCAUAAUACAGCUGAAGAGGAAGGAAUGGACUUGGACCAGGUCAGGAGGAGAGCACAGCAGAUAUACCUGGCUCUGGAUUCUGGUGAGUCCUUCAAGAAUGUGCAAUCAAAGCCCUUGUGUAAAUCCUACAUAAGUGAGGGUCUGAGGGAGCAGGGAGUAAAUGCUUCCCAAUGAACCUGGACAAAGGUAAGUGUGAUACUGACAAUGUGGUCACCUUGUCCAUCUGAAGCUUUUGUUCAAUCCCUGAUGAAAUUUGAACAGAACAGGAAAGUAAGAAAUAAAAACUAGAAAUGAAGAAGAAAAUCCAGAAAAACUUUUUCUCCUGUCCUUUCUCCUCCUCCAUUAAGACUCAUGUGGGAUGUGUGUAAGCUGAGGAAAUGUAAACAGAAGUGGUCCCUGAUGAGUGAUAACCACUACUGCAAUGCUAUAAGGUGCAGUAGGAUUAAGGGCCUUUGCUGCAAUUCCCUGGGAUGAAGUAAUGUCACUUCUUUCUGAAUACAAAUAUUUGAUGAAGUUUGUCCUGUGGAGCAAUAGUUUGUUAGAACAGAAGACUCAAACGACACUGUUGAACUUUAGGCUAUUUUAAUGUGUUUUUAGGCAGAAGUUUCAAUCAGUAAAAUUGUUUAUUUUGACUUUCUGUAUGGAGAAAUAGAGCAUUUCAAUCCAGUAGAUCAUGUUAAAGAAAAAAAGUUACCCAAACCAAAAUUCUUCUGACAUUUUGUUUGUGGAAACGUGAAGUUGCUUGGGCAUUUGUAGUGUUUUGAGAUUACCUCCUCACCUACACAGAACACUUUGUUACUUCCCAGUUCUGCCUUACAGGUUCAUGGUUUGGCGUGGUCCACAGUUGUCACAAGAAUCAGCUGAAGACCACAGCAAUUAAAUAUCUGUGUGGUUUACUAUCAUAUUCUAAAUACUAAACAGACAAAUAUUCUCAGAGAGGUUUGACAGCUGACCUGCAGACCGUACACAGCAUUUGCUUGUCUUUAAGCUAUUGAUAUUUCUAUGAAGAUAUAGUUCAUUAAUUAUUAUUUUUACUGAUGUUCAAUUGAUGUCUUAUUAAAUAUAAAUCAUGUUUGGGAAUAAUAAUUUAAUGGGACGAGUCAGAUGAGAAUCCUCCAGAUAGUUUAUAAUGAAGCUUCACGUUAUUGAUAAUUCUAAGCGCAUAAAUUAUUAAGGAUGGAAAAAAAAAUGCAACUGUUCUAAAAUAAGCUAUGAAAAUGUGAAGUGGUGGUGAACAGACACACAGCGUGCUGGGACUGCUGCAUGACAACGUGUGUUUGGCACUAAGUCAUGUAAGUCAGAACCACUUCAACGUCUCCUGCUCUUACCAAAACAUUUCAUAUUUAAGCAGGUAUCUUCCCCUUGUAUCCCAUUAUUAUGCUGCACCAUUCUGUUCACAGACAUUUUGCAUUGCCUGGGAAAACUGUUAAUUUAAUACACUGAGCUGACCCCGGAGGCACUGAAACGACAUGGCAGCAGCAGUCUGGAGUGCUGCAGUAUAUCCUGCUGUUAACAGCUGGGGAUACUGUGCACUUUUCUAGACAGUUGUCUGAGAGCUCUUUAGGGACAAGUGAGGAAGCUGGCUGUUUGACCACACUGUCAAGGAGGGUACAUCCUGUCCCUUAGCAUCUUUCCUCUUUUCCAUGGAAGACAGAUUUCCCAGUCGCUCCUCUGAUUUUCUCGAAGAGUUGGCAACAAAACCAUUGGUCUCCUUCCUACAAGAAAGAAAGAAAGGAGUAAAAACCCUCAGGUAGGACUUGGAAGAAGGCCCUGGCCUGCCCUCAUCUCGACACUGUUUGCACACUGCUCAGCUUACUCAUGACCAUUCUGUCAGCACGGUAAGAAACCCUUCCCAUGCGCUGUUUGCUGCCAUGGCUGUAGGAGCACUAUGAAAGACAAAUAAAUGCCACUGUCUAAUUUCAGAAUAAGAGAAGUCUUGAGGCUACUUUCACUCUUGGGGCUUGUCUUUUUGCUGUCAAAUAUGUUUCUUGUUCUGCACAAAAAUAAAAUAUAAAUGACUUCAAACACAGCUCCUUCUUCUGAGGCUGUUAUGCAGACAAAGGUGGGUUUGUAAUUGCGAGAAUAUAUCUGUCUAUGUAAGAACUGAAAGGUUCAAAUAGGCAUUUAGGCUGUUUGGUCCUGUAUGUACCUCUGGUGUGUGCAACAUAAAACUGGGAACAGGGAAUGUAGCGAACAUCCUGCAGUCUCCAGAGGCACCUAGGAAUUUCUGGUUGAGUGUUUGCCCUUGUCUCCUUUUCUGUUAUGGCGUAUCUGUCAUUUGGAGUUACAGAUACUGAGGUGAAGUAGAGAAGAACACAGUAUUUGGUAAUCAAAAUGAAGGGAGAAACAAAAGAAGAGGCCAGCAAUGCAAGGCAGUUAUUAAGAGGUGUCUUUGCCACUCUUCAACAUCAGCCUGUUGUGAAUCAUGCAGAGAAGGAACAGAAUCCACCACAGCCUGCUAUUUAUUAUACAUGGAUGAAGCUGAAGAACUAUUGUCACAACAAAGGGAUCCAAAAGCAGUUAUUACAACUCAUCAAUCAAAUAAGCCACUGGAGUACCAUUCACGGUGCUAUAACCAGCCUAAAAGGCACAGUUUGAUCCGAAGUAAUGAACAGUUUCUUACCAUUACGGGAGAAUGACGAGAGACGUUAUGAACCAAGUGGGAAUACCUGGAGAGCGUAGAGCUGAGUCUCCUAAUGCUGAAGUGGAAGGGAGCUUAUAAAAAUGUUACAAAAGGAGUGACAGUGUUGACUAUGGACUUAUCAGCAUCAUGACAGGAAGAGGCUAUUGAAAGAAGCAACCACAUCAGAAAAUUGCAUACUUCUUUGGUAAAUGCUUUGUUUAAGCACAUGAUCAUGCUCUCACGAGUGCCUUGUGAACACCAUUUUUUGCCUCCUG
ensembl:lncRNA